UAUAUAUAUAUAUAUAUAUAUAGAGUAGGACUACUGUGCUACUAAUCGCACAGCAGCUAUUAUACUCCUAACUUUCUAAUCAUUCAUCAAGUUUGAUGGGUGGUUAGAAUAAAAUGAAAAAGAUAUAUUGAAGAGAAAUUCAAGAAGAAGAGAAAUUGAGACACUAAAUUUCUCUCCAUUAUCUUAUUCUAAAUAUCCAUCAAAUUUAAUGGGUGGUUAAAAAGUUAAAGCAUAAGGACUGUUGUGCUCCCAAUAGUACAGUAGCCCUUCUCUCUCUUUCUCUCUCUAUAUAUAUAUAUAUAUA
rnacentral:lncRNA from 1 species